UCUGGCGAUCUGUUUAUAACAAGCCUGUUGGUGAUUUAAGAGAGAGCUUCGUUUUGGUAAAAAAUCUUUCUUUUUAAGAGAGUUUUUGUUUAUACAGGUCAGAUUGUGCCGGAGAAGGUUUUCCGGUUUACUCCGGAGGGCUUGUAGCUCAGUUGGUUAGAGCGCGCGCUUGAUAAGCGUGAGGUCGGAGGUUCAAGUCCUCCCAGGCCCACCAUUUUAUCGUUUUAUCUUUUACCGUUUUAUCAUUGUGUCGUGUUUAUUGUGCCUUAUAAAAAGAAUGGCUGGUAAAAUAUUUGAGAGGAGCAAAGAAGGGUAUUGAGAGAUAAAAAUUGCGUAGAGAGUAAACCGAAUGAGAGUGAAGUGAAUUUUGUCGCUCUGUUUUGAGGCCUUUUAGGUAGUUUUGAAUGAAAAUUGGGGACGAAAUUCUGGUCGUGUGUGGCUUUUGAGAGAUAAGAUUUGAAGAGAUAGUCUUUGGGUUCCAGAGGCAUUAAGGGGCCGUAGCUCAGAUGGGAGAGCACCUGCUUUGCAAGCAGGGGGUCGUCGGUUCGAUCCCGUCCGGCUCCACCAUUGAGGACAUCAUCGUUGUUAAAGGAACAGGUUUUGCAGAAGGUUAAGGCCUAUUUGCGUGUUCUAUUGAAAUUGUGAAGAGAAGAUAUAUUCAGACAUUCUUGUUUGAGAUUUUUUGGCUUUAAGAUAUCCUUUUUGAGGAUAUGUUAAUUUAAGAGAACGAAAGUUUUUUUAAAAAGGCUUUUUCAUGAAGGUUUUAAGAGAGUCUUUUGGUUUUAAGAGAGUCUUUUAGAGAAAAAAUUGAGGAAGAUUUAGAGAAAAAAUUGAGGAAGAUUUAGAGAAAAAAUUGAGGAAGAUUUAGAGAAAAAAUUGAGGAAGAAAUGGUCGCUGAGGCGUC
rnacentral:tRNA from 1 species